rnacentral:rRNA from 1 species
GAUGAACGCUGGCGGUAUGCUUAACACAUGCAAGUCGAACGGACUCUUCGGAGUUAGUGGCGGACGGGUGAGUAACGCGUGAGAAUCUGGCUUUGGGUUCGGGACAACCACUGGAAACGGUGGCUAAUACCGGAUGUGCCGAGAGGUAAAAGAGAAAUUGCCUGAAGAUGAGUUCGCGUCUGAUUAGCUAGUUGGUGAGGUAAAGGCUCACCAAGGCAGCGAUCAGUAGCUGGUCUGAGAGGAUGACCAGCCACACUGGGACUGAGACACGGCCCAGACUCCUACGGGAGGCAGCAGUGGGGAAUUUUCCGCAAUGGGCGAAAGCCUGACGGAGCAAUACCGCGUGAGGGAAGAAGGCUCUUGGGUUGUAAACCUCUUUUCUUAGGGAAGAACAAAAUGACGGUACCUAAGGAAUCAGCAUCGGCUAACUCCGUG